rnacentral:rRNA from 1 species
AGUGGGUUUUGCCUGAAGUCGCCGGGAGCCACAGGCAGGCGCCUAGGGUAAGGCUCAUGACUGGGGCUAAGUCGUAACAAGGUAGCUGUACCGGAAGGUGCGGCUGGAUCACCUCCUUUCUAAGGAGCAUA